AGUGUCCAGGGGCGGGAAUCGAACCCACAACCUUCUGCUUACCGGGCAGGUGCCAUGUCCACUAGGCCUUCAC